AGCAGCCGCGGUAAUUCCAGCUCCAAUAGCGUAUAUUAAAGUUGUUGCAGUUAAAAAGCUCGUAGUUGAAUUUCGGAAUCAAUGGAUCGGUCAUGCCACUCGGUGUGUACUGGUUUGAUUGGUUCUCACCUUCUAAGGAACCGUGAUGUCAUUAAUUUGGUGUCGCGGGGAAUUAGGACUGUUACCUUGAAAAGAUUAGAGUGUUUAAAGCAAGCUCACGCUUGAAUACAUUAGCAUGGAAUAAUGAAAUAGGACAUUGUAUUCUAUUUUGUUGGUUUCUAGGAUCGAUGUAAUGAUUAAUAGGGAUAGUUGGGGGCAUUAGUAUUCAAUUGUCAGAGGUGAAAUUCUUGGAUUUAUUGAAGACUAACUACUGCGAAAGCAUUUGCCAAGGAUGUUUUCAUUAAUCAAGAACGAAAGUUAGGGGAUCGAAGACGAUCAGAUACCGUCGUAGUCUUAACCAUAAAC
rnacentral:rRNA from 1 species